ensembl:lncRNA
AGCGUUGCUGCCAUAGACUUAAGAAUAGGUCUCAGUCACAGAGUGCGCAAUGCCUCAGUCAUCAAACCCGUAUUUAGCCAAAGCUCAUUUGUUUAGGAGCAAACACUGGCAGCCUUAGAGCGGUGGCUGCGUAGUGUGGAGGUUCAGUAAGUGGGCUCUGCAGGCUGCUGCUGCUGCUGCUAAGUUGCUUCAGUCAUCUCCGACUCUGUGCGACCCCAGAGACGGCAGCCCACCAGGCUCCCCUGUCCCUAGGAUUCUCCAGAGAUCACACUGACAUCAAGGCUAGUGAUGCUAAAGUGAAUGCCAGAGAUCCACGUGUCCUAACAUGCCCUGGGUACUUCGUGUCUGACAAUGGCGGUGUACACACAGGAGACGUUUAUUAUGUAAGAAGCUGAGACACACAACGGGCAAUGUGAACAAAGUCACCAGAGCUGGGACUUGGCCCUGGGACGAUCCGACAAGCUCCUGUGGUCUCCACCUGAGCGGCAGGGACAACAGGGAGCUCAGAUCCCCCCAGCGCAUCACAGCCCCUGGCUCCGGAACACCCCCCCCACCACACACACUUCUGCAAUGGUGUUUCCCAGCAAAAGCCGCUCCACAGAGAAGCUAUCCAACAAGCUCAAAAUAAAUAAAAGGUACACA